rnacentral:lncRNA from 1 species
CACGUCGAAGGGACCGUCGUGAUUCAUUCUCUCCUCGACAUAGAUCAUCACAUUUGAUGAGAAGAUCUGGAUCUACUUCACAUCGUAAGUCUCGAUCUCCAGAAGUACGUCAAUUGCGUUCUCCUUCUCAACAUAGUUCACCAUCUCCUGGUCGUAAAUCACCAUAUCGAUCAUCUUCGCCUAUGCAACGUCUAUCAUUAUCACCUGCACAUCGAAGGUCACCGGCACUUGAUAAGCAUAAUAGAUCACCAUCACCCACGAGGCAUCGUAGGUCACUAUCACCAAUUAGACGUCGUCGUUCACCUUCACCUGUUCGGCGUCGUAGAUCACCAUCACCUAAAUGGCGUCGUAGAUCACCAUCACCUGAGUGGCGUCGUAGGUCACCUUCACCAGGACGACGUCGUAGGUCACCUUCACCAGGACGACGUCGUAGGUCACCAUCACCAGGACGACGUCGUAGGUCACCAUCACCAGGACGACAUCGUAGGUCACCAUCACCUAUACGACGCUGGAGGUCACCAUCUCCAAUACGACGUAGAAGGUCACCAUCUCCAAUACGACGUCGAAGGUCACCAUCCCCACCACGACGUCAUAGGUCACCAUCUCCAUAUCGUCGAAAAUCACCUUCCUUUGUGCGUCGUCGUAGGUCACCAUCUCCAUCACAUCGUCGUAGAUCACCGUCUCCGGCGCAUUACCGCAGAUCACCAUCACCUAUUAAAAGCCAUAAGUCUCGUUCUCCUGUGCGACGACCUAUGUUACCUUCGCCCUCACCCACACGCAAAUUGGAUAGGUCAUCCCCCCUUGAUCAUCGCAGAACACCCUCACCUCUGGAACGUAGAUCUCCAUCAACCUCUUUAAGCAAAUCUCCUCCAUUGCUGCAAAGGUCAUCUCCAGGACUUCGCAAGAGAUCAAGCCCUUCU